UCUAUGUGCUGAGCUCCCAGCUUGGGUGCUGAAGCUUGAAGAAAUAGUUGUAGGUCUUCUAACUUCAUGCCUCUUUGUUUUGAUUCUUGCACGAGUGGAGUGGUACAGAUACUUUCUAAAACUUGGUGAUAGGAAAAAAAAGAACAUUUCUGAUGUUAAGAGAGAUAGAUUCAUUAUGCAGAUGGAGAGUUAAGUGACGGUGAGACUUUGGAGGCAACCAAAUAGAUGCAUCAUUGUUCAUGCCGCUUGUUCAUGCUUGAUAACAACUGAAAAGUGACAGUGAAACUUUGGCAUUAGGAUAGGUCUCGAACUUCGAAUCUAUUCAGGCAGCAAGGUUGAAAUGGUUGCUUGCUUCCGACGGUGCUUGUUCAUGCCUCUUGUUUUGAUUCCAGCACAAGUGGUGUACACUCUCUUAAGAUAUUGCUAAAUAUUUGCAGACUCUCCGUUGCAAGCUGUUCAGGCUCAAGAUAACAGAGACAGGACCAAAUCAGACGCAAAUUUGGCUUCGUCAGACUGGGAGCCCCAAUGGAUGGUUAUGUGAACUUGUUGAGCCAGGAAAACGAUACCGUAAUUUGGGAUGAUAAUAUGUUUGGUAGCCCACACGAGGAGCAACAAUUGUCUGAUAGGUUAUCUCAGAAAAAGCAGAAGACCACCUCUAAUUGAAGUCGGUACGUCUAGGAACCAACUCAAGUCAUUAUGAUGAUAGAACGGAUUGUCCUACUCUAGAAAGUGAGCCCGUGGAAAGGCCACUUGGUAGGAAGACAGAGAAAGAACAACAACGAGGUAAAAAUUCUAACUUGUCAUCUAGUAAUGUGUUUAUGUGGAAGCAUUAGAGAAUAUGUGGUCAAAGAAGAAAGAGAUAGAGGCCAUGAAAGAGCUCAGUAAAAAAAGAGCAGUAUGAUCGAAGAUAUACACUAGAAGUAGAGAGGAUUGUAAAUGAUAUGAAAAUGAUUGAAAUAAAGGAAAGGGAGCUAGAAUUUAGGAGAUGGUUGGAAGAUGAGAGGAUUAUGAGUAUGGACAUUACUGCUAUGAGUGAGCCACGACGACAAUACUAUUAGAGCUUGCAAAAUAAGAUCAUCGUUUGACGACUUUGUAGGCUUGGAUUGAGCUGCUUCAUUGAUAUUUUGUUGUAUGAACUACUAUGUGGAUCAUAAUUUUGUUGUAUGAACUUUUAUGUGGACCAUCAUUUUGUUGUA